rnacentral:misc_RNA from 1 species
UUUCCGUAGGUGAACCUGCGGAAGGAUCAUUAUUGUAUAACCGAGGUGCGAGGGCUGUCGCUGACCCGAAAGGUCGUGCACGCCCGAGUGCCCUCACACACAUCCAUCUCACCCCUAUGUGCACCACAGCGUGGGUCCCCCUUUGGCUUGUUCGGAGGGGGGCUUACGUUUUCACACAAACUUUGUAUGCAGUGUAGAAUGUAUUUUUUGUUUUUGCGAUCACGCAAUCAAUACAACUUUCAACAACGGAUCUCUUGGCUCUCGCAUCGAUGAAGACGCAGC